GGUGUUGUAGCUCAGUGGUAGAGCACUUGCCUGGCAUUCAUGAGGCACUGGGUUCGAUCUUCAGUACCA
rnacentral:tRNA from 1 species